GUUGAUUCUUUUUUCUAAGAUGAAUCUUUAUCUUUUGGUGUCUUAUGACUUAUUUUUUUCAAGGUAUGAGUAUGCCUGUUGCACAUGUGGAAGAAAGUUGGCAAAUGGAUGAGUUUUAUAGCAACAAGGUACUUGUAGAGCUUUCAUGCAUUAGGCCCUGUAUGGAGUCAAACAGGAAAAGUGAUUGCUCCAUCAAAAGCUAAUGCUUCUGUUGCACCUUCUGCCCCUCCUCAUCCGCCUGCAUCUCUCUUUAGUUCUGAAUCACUUCAGGCUUCAUCUUCUAAGCCAAAAGUGGGGAUGUCUGCUUUUUUUCAAGAGAUUGGUACAAGAGAUGUCACAGCAGAUUCAAGGUUGUCAUAAUUAUGGGCCUGUUUGUUUCAGCUUUAAAAGACGGGAGUUGUAUUUAAGGGUUUUAUAAUGUAGGAUGUUGUUGCAGCUUUUGAGAUUGUAAACAGUAAUGGGAAUGAGGUUCAAUGCCAGG